AGCUCGAUAGCGCAACGGUAGCGCAUCCGUUCCCUAUCUUUCAUUCUUUCUGACGUAGAAUCAUGGUUGACAGGAAGAUCUCGGUUCGACUCCGAGUCGAGCUA
rfam:Stereum hirsutum FP-91666 SS1 unplaced genomic scaffold STEHIscaffold_24, whole genome shotgun sequence.